ACCCACAGGCAGGCACUGCAUCAGGGUCUCCCUCCUGUCCCAUGGCCCCCAGGUGUCCUGCGGCCCCACACAGCCUCCUUCCACGGCGCCAGCCAGGCCUUGUGCCCAUCUCCACUCCCUUGCCCUCACCUGUCCUGACCCACCACACCUUGGCGGCCUCCUCUCGGGGCUUCCUGGACUCCGCCGCGCUGCACCCACCUCCGCCCUCAUCACCCAGGAGGCCUUCCCCAGCCUGGCCCGACUCAGGCUCCAUAGCCUUUCACCACCCUCCUGGCUGCUGGCAGUGAAAUUCACAGGAGCUCCCUCCGGGGCAAGGGUGCCUCCGCCUCCUCCAUGGCAGCAUCCCCAGCCCUGCACGGGGCCCUCAGCGAACACAUGGGCUGAAUAAAUGAGUGACUGUAUGAGGGACGAAUGAACACAUGAAUGAGAGAAUGGCACUGGGGGUCCGUGAACAGCUUUGUUGCAUUGAAGACGGUGAAGGAUUUUCAUCCCGGUCCAAGCACGGAGGCCUCUCUAGAAACCGUCCCUUCCAGCUCCAUGAGGGGUGAACUCUGAGCUCAGAGGCCAUGGGGCGAAGUGCAGAAAAUGGCUUUAAACUCUGGGAGGAGGAAGGAAGCCACCCUCCAGAAAGGAGUAAGAACCGCUCUGGAACAUUCCCAAGAAAGGUCGCUGGGGGGCAGACCUGAGUGGCUACGCGGACCCGGCGGACCCGGCGGACCCAGAUCCCCCGCAGGGCAGCCCCUGCAGCCAGCGGGCUCCGACUCUCGCUCUUCAGCGAACACCGCCCUUGGCGCCACGCCCACCUCCACCCGCGGCCACCUUCCUUCCCUCCCACCGCCGGACCUUCAAGACAGGAUCUACCCCGGGCGGCCCCCAGCACGGGUCUCAGCCCCCUCCAGACUGGGGUUCUCGCCACCCUGCACUGAAAUGGCGGCAGCCAGCUCCCUCCUGCCGCAGCCGGUGGCAGCCAGCUCCGGGCCUGGCUGGCCCCGCCCACCCUGUGUCUCGCGUGGCACCCACUGCGCUGUUCCUGUCCCGCCUGUCUUAUCGUGACCUCACCCGGCUCCAGACUCUCACAUGUUUACGCCUUCAGCCCUGCCCAGCCCUGGACCCCAAGUCCCCUCCAGUAUUUCUUUUUCCUUUCUUUUCUUUUCUUUUUUUUCUUUUUUUUUUUUUUUGAGAGAGUUUCGCUCUUGUCGCCCAGGCUGGAGUGCAGUGGCGCGAUCUCUGCUCACCGCAACCUCCGUCUCCCCAGUUCAAGCGAUUCUCCUGCCUCAGCCUCCCAAGUAGCUGGGAUUACAGGCCUGUGCUACCACGCUUGGCUAAUUUUGUAUUUUUUACGGGGUUUCAGCAUGUUGGUCAGGCUGGUCUCGAACUCCUGACCUCAAGUGAACCAUCCGCCUUAGCCUCCCAAAGUACUGGGAUUACAGGCGUGAGCCACUGCGCCUGGCCAUCCCCUCCAAUAUUUCUGAGGCCACCUGCCCAAAGGGGGGUUGGGUGGAGAGGACGGGGCCAGCAGCAGCAGGCCUGGGCCAGGAGACAGGCACACACCUCCGCGGUCUCUGGCUUGUCUAUGUCCACACAGCGGAAAGACCUCCAACCCCCAGCCACCUGCAGCAGCCCCACAUCUCCACUGGGUCACCCUGUUGAGAUCAAGAAUGCCUCCUCCAAUGUCCCAACCCAUGAGGGCUUCUUGGAGCUGAGCCAGGGCACCCGCCACUUCUGGAUGGGGGCUCCUCAUGACUUCUGACCUCUGUCUCGCUGGUUGGCAAGAGAAGACUGGACUCCUUCUGCAGGCCUCAGGGCAGAGGCAGAUGUCAGCCCCCAGGGAUGUCACUGCCAGAGCCCCAGAUGCCCCAAGCCACCCGGACCCCCCCUCCCCCUUGCAGUAUCUCUGCUACAAUAAAAUGUACACAGAUCUGAACCCUCUCACCUGGGCGACUGCCAAUGUCCCCUACGGCCCUAGACCCCGCCCCCAGGAGCCCAGGGGAUCUUUCUUUUUAAAGAUAUUCAGACCUCACAGAUAAGUCUGCCCUGGCCAGCCGCUCCCCAGUUCCCAGGCCCUAUCCUGACAAUGGCCACCACUUCAGAGCAGCUGAAACCUGCUGUGAGUGAAAAAUGAGAAGCUGUUGUUUUAAUUUUACUUUCUCUGAUUACUAAUGAGGUUAUUUCUUCUCUGCAUAAAAACUUCAUUCGUGUUUAAUUGGAUUUUUGUCUUUUUGUUAAUGUAUAGGACCUCCUUUUGUUCUUACAUAUAUUAUGAAUUCAAACUCUUGUAGAUAAAGAUUAAUGUUUAGAGGCAAAAUCAUGGUUCUCAUACAAAAUAAAAAUUGAACACACCUAA